UCUUCCGCAAUGGACGAAAGUCUGACGGAGCAACGCCGCGCGAGUGAUGAAGGUUUUCGGAUAGUAAAACUCUGUUGUUAGGGAAGAACAAGUACCGUUCGAAUAGGUCGGCACGUUGACGGUACAUAACCAGAAAGCCACCGCUAACCACGUGCCAGCCGCCGCGGUAAUACGGAGGUGGCAAGCGUUGUCCGGAAUUAUUGGGCGUAAAGCGCGCGCAGGCGGUUUCUUAAGUCUGAUGUGAAAGCCCCCGGCUCAACCGGGGAGGGUCAUUGGAAACUGGGGAACUUGAGUGCAGAAGAGGAGAGUGGAAUUCCACGUGUAGCGGUGAAAUGCGUAGAGAUGUGGAGGAACACCAGUGGCGAAGGCGACUCUCUGGUCUGUAACUGACGCUGAGGCGCGAAAGCGUGGGGAGCGAACAG
rnacentral:rRNA from 1 species